UUGCUCCAGGAGUACACAGAUUAAACUUGCAAUGGUACAAAGAAGUUAGGAUGGCCUGCAGCCAACGAUGAUCCUCAAAUUCAUGAAAUGUUCUCUAUUUUU
rnacentral:snRNA from 1 species